AAAAAUAAAAUCAAUUUCAAAUGUAAAAUUUUCUAUUUUGGAAAGAAAAAAAAACUUUUUUUAUAGGCAAAUGUCAAUGGUUAGUAAUUUGGCUACAAAUUUGGCACCAAACCGUACCAUUGGACUAUAAUUUCGAAAAAGAACAUUGUUAUGGUUUUCUUACCCAUAAGAAGGUUUUAAUAUCAGCGGUCUCGUGCCGCCCUGUCAAACGACGCUCGUUGCCUUCACCAUAAGCAGCAAUGUGCUCGACGUGCUUCUUUCCAAGCUUCUCAA
rnacentral:lncRNA from 1 species